CGGCCCGGGCGGUCGCCAGGGGUUCGGGUGGCGGGGGUGACGGAGCCACAGGGUCGCAGGAUCAGCUGGGUUGGAAAAGACCGCUGAGAUCGUCGAGUCCAGCCUUUGACCGCACAUCUCCGUGUCAACUAGACCACGGCACUAAGUGCAACGUCCAGUCUUUCCUCAGCCCCGCCAGCGAGGGUGACUCUACCACUUCUCUGGGCAGACCAUUCCAAUGUCUAAUCAACCUUUCUGUGGAGAAACUCUUCCUAACGUCCAACCUAAGCCUCCUCUGGAGCAACUUGAGGCCAGUUCUUUUUGUCCUGUCACUUGUUGCCUGGGAGAAAAGGCUGACCCCCACUUGGUUGCACCCUCCUUCGCGGUGGUUGUAGAGAGCGAUAAGGUCUCAUCUGAGCCUCCUCCAGGCUAAACAGCCCCAGCUCCCUCAGCAGCUCCUCAUGGCACCUGUGCUCCAGACCCUUUACCAGCUUUGCUGCCCUUCUCUGGACACUCUCCAGCACCUCUGUGUCCUUCCUGAAUAGAGGGGCCCAAGCCUCACGGCCUCACCAGUGCCGAGUACAGGAUCGUGCUGACCACACUAUUUCUGACACGGGCCAGGAUGCCAUCGGCCUUCUUGGCUGCCUGACCACACUGCUGGCUCACGUUUGUUCAUCGAUGUCACCAGGUGUUGUCUCAGCCCUCUCCUCCUCUGGCCCAGUACUUGGGGCUUCCACAGAGAGCUGCCAGAGGAAAGCCAAGGGGACAAGCCAGGCCGUGGCUGGUGCCACAGUUCGGUGUCACAGCAGGCACAGAAUACUCUGGAAAAGCAAAGGUCUCAAGAAAACAUCAUAAAUGAGGAGCUACAGCAUAAAUAAAACUGGAUCUAAAAUACUAUUUCAACAUUUCUGAGGUAUUUUGAAGUACUGUCAGACAGGAGAUGACACAUGAUUCAAGCUUCAAAUCUGUUGUUCCCCAUUGUUGAGAAUAUUCUUGGUUUCCCAUCAAGUACGUACCAUGAAUUCUGAAGUAUUUUGAUAAAAUCUUGUACUUUCCUGCUCAUUCCUCAUCAUUGUUUAACCACUUAUUUUUUGACUUAAAUAAAAUGAACAUGUUGUUCAGGAGCUCAGCAGCAGAUUACUUAUUGUAAGAUCAAAUUGUAAGUUUGAUCCAUUAUCAAAUCAGUAGACAUACAGUGGAACUAAAAUUAGCUAUGUGUUUUGGAAGAAGCUGUCAUGUCAUAAUAGGUUGUGAUAGACACUCCAGACUUUCUAAAUAAUGCUUGUCGGCAGCUUUUCAUUCUACUUUUGAAACUGCUGUGACCUAAAAGUUUGUGAUGUAGGCAAGCAAUCAUUUCCUCAUGUUAAGAGAAGCAGAUGUCUUAAAUCUACGCACAGAUCUGAUAAGUAGCAAUAAAAUAGUCCUCUUGCUGAUUGAUCAGAUAUUUUACCAUAAACUGUACCUAUCUUACUAUUUAUAGGAAGCACUCUGGCAAAUAAUUAUGUCAUCCCUUUUAUUUCCCAAUAAACUCUGAGCUGUUUGUUUUCA